CUCAUGGGGCGAGAUACUGGGGCACCUGUGGAUUUCAUUACUGAUCCCCUACACAUGCAGCUCUACAAGCUCUCUGACUAUUCUGAUAGAAGGAAAACAAACAAGGACACCACUGCCCAGGGUUCAGAACCUGUGGGAAGACGACCUCAGAAUCCCUAACUAAAAGAAGGUCAUUAUUGAAACUGAACUUCAACCUAUCAUCUACUAAAGGGACCUACUAAAGAGGCCUACUAAAGGG